UUGCUUGAUUCAGCAGCACAUAUACUAAAAUUGGAAUUAUACAGAGAAGAUUAGGAUGGCUCCCACACAAGGAUGACACACACAUUCAUGAAGUGUUCCAUAUUUUU